rnacentral:tRNA from 1 species
GCUGGUAUAGCUCAGUGGUAGAGCAUGUGCUUAGCAUGCCCAAGGUCCUGGGUUCAACUCAUAGCACCUCCA